rnacentral:rRNA from 1 species
UACGUAGGGUGCAAGCGUUGUCCGGAAUUAUUGGGCGUAAAGAGCUUGUAGGCGGUUUGUCGCGUCUGCUGUGAAAUUUCGGGGCUCAACCCCGAACUUGCAGUGGGUACGGGCAGACUAGAGUGUGGUAGGGGAGACUGGAAUUCCUGGUGUAGCGGUGAAAUGCGCAGAUAUCGGGAGGAACACCUGUGGCGAAGGCGGCCCCCUGGUCGGAUACUGACGCUGAGACGCGAAAGCGUGGGGAGCAAACAGG